rnacentral:tmRNA from 1 species
GGGGUUGACUGGAUUUGACAGCGGGAUGAAAUGGUACGUAAGCACGCGGAGCGUCGUCUGUUAGCUCCUUAAUAUCAGCGGUCAAAAAUUUAUCUGGCGAAACAAAAUACGCUCUCGCUGCCUAAUCGAAGUACAGUAGAUUACUGGCUUUAUUCCGUCACCAGGUGAUGGAACGAGACAUCGCUCAGUGGCUGUUGUUCCGAAGCUUACUGGUAUAGCGGUGCGGUGAAAUCGGAAAUAGUCUGUUCAAGCCUCGUUGCUCAGAUGAAGUUUUAGAGGAUAAGGUUGCGGUUGGUGGUCCGGGUCUUGCCGCAGCUCGAAAAACGAAGGCCGGAAUAAGCGUGUAGAAAGCGUAUGGUUUCCCUGUUUGGACGAGGGUUCGACUCCCUCCAGCUCCACGG